AAGCAUUGAGACUGUUCCUGACAGAUGUGAACAGACCUUUUGGUGUCUCCUUGCAGCGAGCAUUUGGUGACUGGCAAGUGUUUUGAACUUCAUGUUUUUUAGGAAUAACACACAGUAUCUCUGGAAAAGAAUCCCUCCUGCCAUCAGAUCUGCAAAUGCUGAACUUGGUGCAGUUUGGUCAGUGGGGCAGAGGAUCUGGCAGAGAGACUUGGAAGCACUCUGAGGUCCAAAGUGACCUUGUGUGGGCAGCAGGGCAUUGCCUGAAGUGAUUCCUGUGUGCUCAGACAGUAAUUAGGAGAAAUCAGAACUGUUGCCAAAUUUGUGUAGGUUUUCCUGAAGGAAUUUUAGGUGUCAGAUGUAAAUAAAAACCUCAUGACAGAACCUUGUAAAAA